rnacentral:rRNA from 1 species
GACGAACGCUGGCGGCGUGCCUAAUACAUGCAAGUCGAACGCACUGGGGACGGGUGAGUAACACCUGGGUAACCUCCCAUCAGAGGGGAUAACACUUGGCUACAGGUGCUAAAACCGAUAUUGAUGGAUGGACCCGCGGUGCAUUAGCCAGUUGGUGGGGUAACGGCUCACCAAGGCCACGAUGCCUAGCGGGGCUGAGAGGAUGAUCGGCCACACGGGGACUGAGACACGGCCCAGACUCCUACGGGAGGCAGCAGUAGGGAAUAUUCGGCAAUGGACGAAAGUCUGACCGAGCAAUGCCGCGUGUGUGAAGAAGGUCUUCGGAUCGUAAAACUCUGUUGGUAGGGAAGCGGUAUCUAACCAGAAAGCAACGGCUAACUACGUGCCAGCAGCCGCGGUAAUUC